rnacentral:lncRNA from 1 species
GCCAGUGGGUGGUGGGAUGCUUAGUCCCAUGGCAGCAGUGUCUGAGUAAGCAUCAAUCCCAUGUAGACUGGGACAGGGUCUACCCUCACACUGAGCACACAUCCAGUAGGAAAGCUUACAGGAACAGCUCCCCAAAGCCAAGGAAAGGGUUCCAUUUAGACUCCUGUUGACAUAGCAACAGUAUGACAUUGCCAACAUGCCCAGAGCAUGGUGGUAGUACCAUGGGAUAUCUGCCCAGGCAGUGGGGUGUUUGUUUUGAGAGAAGCACAAUACUGGGUGAAUGCCACAAUUCAGAGAAACAAGUACUUUGGCCAACAUAAACAAUGCAGUUAUUGAUAUAUUUACACAGCCAAGGUUCCUGUCUUGAAUUGUCACCAUCCAUUGGACUCAAUUGCCUUUUCUUUGCUCUCCACCUCAAGUCACAGUGUUGAACCUGACACAGGAGCAGCUCUAAGAAGUCUGGUUGUUCAUCAUAAGCUUCAUACAUGUUGACAAAGAAGACACUGAAAAAACCUGGUACCAUGGUACCAGCAUGCUCAAGCCUAUUGCCUCCAGCAGUCCCACUUCUUCUCUGUGAAGGGCUGUGAGAAUCACCAAUACCUGCCCUUGCUCCAGCCACCUUGGAUAUCCCCACAAGCUCUGACUUCAUCUGGGGUCAUAAGGAGUGGAAAGGCUGAGCUGGCUAGGAAGGAAGAUAAGUUGGGAAAGGCAACAGGAGCCCAUUGACCAGCUGUCUGAGGACUCAGCAGGCUAGUCCUUCAAAGUUUUUCCAUGAAGCCAGCAGCAGAGGAAGGGAGGCAUCAGCAUGGCACAGAAGCUGAGGUUCCUCAGCAGUGAGGCAGCAGUUGCGGAACUCAUUUCAGGAGGAUUCCUGCUGCUGAAAAGGACAGGCAUCAAAGCACUACAUAUCCUGUGGGAGGAAAAGGGGAAUUCUUUCACAGACAUCAUCUCUUCCUUAUGUAAUUAAGUAAGUCAAUGGGAAACAAAUCCAGACAUGAAUAUUUAUCUUCAGCUUCCUGGUAAGAGUUUUGGUUCACUAGAUUCCCCUGGCCUUUUUCCAGGUUUUUUUUGUUUUGUUUUGUUUUUGUUUUUUUUUUUUUUUUUAGAGAGAACCCAGAUCUGAGAACCUGCUGACCCUCAAGCUGUCUGACUGAGCUGAUGCGUACAUCUUCAUCUAAUAUUUUCCCUGAAGUCUCAGCCCUCAAUGUAGUAUUUUCCAUAAAGGAUAACACUGCAAUAAUUCUGCUAACGAGCAGUGCUGUGAAACCGCCUGCUGAUCUCUUCCCACCCUCAUCUCAGAGAGAUGUGUGAGGGGGUAAGAUGGAAAGGGAUCUGUCAGCCCAGCUGCAUUAAUUUGAGACAUCAGCAGGACACAGGCCUCCUGUGGGACCACUGCACAGGGGUGAUGCUCAUUGCAUGAGGCCAGACUCUCAGGGCUUGGGAAGGGGCCACAGACACACCCCAAGGUAACAUUAAAGAUGACAGCCUGCUGUGCCUCUGUCCUCCCCAAAAAGCUCUCCAAUGCAGUUCUGGUAAUGCACUAGAAGAUGUUUCACAGAGAGGAAACCUCUCUGGUCUCUGAGCAGCCUGAUCUGAUUAAAGAUGUCCCUGCUUC